AGGGUAAUAGUUAAAAAUAACAUUUAAUUUGCAUUUAAAAAAUAUUGAAAAUCUUCAAUUUACCUUA
rnacentral:tRNA from 1 species